AAUAAGUACGGUCUUGUUAGAAUAUUUAACGAGUUUUCAAUAGGAAUUUUUAAAAUGGCAAUCAGCAAAAAUGUCUAAGUAGAAUUUUUAAAUAAUCCUGAUGACAUUUUAGUAUAAAUUGAGUGGUUAUAAAAGUUAGUUUGAGUGCCAUCGCCGAAACAGUAAAUAAUAAAGAUGACGAUUUCCAAAGGAACGAUUGUCUGCUUUUUAAUUGUAUGUGCAAUUGGUAUUAAUGCUUAUGCAAUCGAAAAAAUGCUAUAACAAACUCUCAUCACGAACGCCGCGAGAUUUCGUUACCUGAAAGGAUAUUUUGGCGUAUUAUCGAUGUCUUCCACAUUUUUAACUUUUUAAUUCCGCAACCUAUUCGCAACUUAGUUCAAGCAUUUCACGAAUUUAUUGGUUUUACCAAACCUGAUGAAUUGAGACCUUAAAAUAAAAUAAAUGGUGGUUCAAACAUUUA